CUUCUUCCUCAUUGCUGUAGUGAUGAAAGUAGAUUUUACUGAAGAUAUUGAGGGGAGAGAGGAAGAGGACUUAUAUCACCCACUAUGCACCAAAACAUCAUUUAAAAAAUUACCUUUUAAACGCAUCUGUUCAUUUCUCAAAGUUCCACUAUGGGCCCCGACGUCUUCUAGUUCUCUUUGUUUUUCCUUCAGCCUAACAUUCCCAACACUGCCUCUCAACUAUUUUUCUCCUUUCCCUAGUAAUUCAAUUCACAGCUUGCAUGAUCUGGCCAGCAAAACAAAAGCCAGGCAGUUUUCGCUGAUUCCAUCCUUAGAAAACAGUUCAGGGGCCAACCAUUGUUAGUCCCGUGGAGUCCCAUCAACCCAGUCACUUUGCCUUUUCUUGGAGCAGGAAAAGAAGGAAAGCUUUUGCUGCUGGGAAGAUAAGAUCUUCUUCAGAUGGCCACAGAUGUGAAGAAUUAACCCAGUCGGAGCCAGCUUCAUGGACAUGCCAUCUGCACAGUUCCACGGAGAAGGGACCUGUACUUUGGAGAAACCUUCAAACAUGGACACAGAGACACGUGCAAGGAAGUACAUCACAUUCUUUGGGGGAAGUGGAACAACAGGAAGCAACCUACAUGUCCAUCAGCAAGGGGACUGCUAAGUAAGUGUGCAAGAGUGAAACGGGAUGUGGUGGUGAAGAAGAAGAAAAUAGACCUCUAUGUACCUACUGUAUUAGUCUGUUUUCACACUGCUGAUAAAGACAUACCCAAGACUGGGUAAUUUGUAAAGAAAAAGAAGUUUAAUGGACUCACAGUCCCACGUGGCUGGGGGGGGGGCUCACAAUCAUGGUGGAUGGCAAAAGGCACGUCUUACAUGGCAGCAGACAAGAGAGAAAUGAGAACCAAGCAAAAGGGAGACCCCUUAUAAAACCAUCAGCUCUUGUGAAACUUAUUCACUACCACGAGAAUAGUAUGGAGAAAACUGCUCCCAUGAUUCAAUUACCUCCCACUAGGUCCUUCCCACCACAUGUGGGAAUUAUGGGAGCUACAAUUCAAGAUAAGAUUUGGGUGAGGACCCAGCCAAGACAUAUCACCUACAUAAACAAAUCUUCAACACAUAUUUUUUAGAGAAAAAGACAAGUUGCACAAACAUCUUGUACCACAUGAAGCUUUUUUUAAACAACCAAAAGGUUCAGAAAACACAAAACUAUAUUUGUAUUUUCUAUAGGUACAUACACAUGUAUAAAAAUACAAAGGAAAUUCUGGCUGUUACAGAUGUGUGCUAAGAAAAAAUUUACUAGAAAAU
rnacentral:lncRNA from 1 species